rnacentral:rRNA from 1 species
UCAAGUUACUAAGGGCAGACGGUGGAUGCCUUGGCAGCAGGAGGCGAUGAAGGGCGUGGCUACCUGCGAUAAGCUCCGGGGAGCUGGAAGCAAGCUUUGAUCCGGAGAUGCCCGAAUGGGAAAACCCAUCUGGCUUAAUAGCCAGGUAUCUACAGCUGAAUACAUAGGCUGUAGAGGCGAACGGGGGGAAGUGAAACAUCUCAGUACCCCUAGGAAAAGAAAGUAAAAACGAUUCCCUGAGUAGCGGCGAGCGAAAGGGGAACAGCCCAAACCAGGUAGGUGUUAAAGCUUGCGGGCGUUGCUUAUCUGGGGUAGUGGGGCCUUACUGGGCGAGGCCGCAAACUCGCCGGGAAGUUACAAAUCUGCACUCUAGCCGAACAGGUUGGAAAACCUGGCCAUAGAGAGUGAUAGCCUCGUAGGCGAAAGGGUAGCAGACUUCCUGAGUAAGGUUCCCAAGUACUGUGGGACACGAGAAAUCCCGCAGGAAUCUGGGAGGACCAUCUCCUAAGGCUAAAUACUCCCUGCUGACCGAUAGCGAACCAGUACCGUGAGGGAAAGGUGAAAAGAACCCCGGGAGGGGAGUGAAAUAGAACCUGAAACCGUCUGCCUACAAGCUGUGGAAGGGCUAUGCCUCUUCGGAGGCACUGCCUGACCGCGUGCCUUUUGUAUAAUGAGCCAGCGAGUUACUCUUGGCGGCAAGGUUAAGCCGUGAGGCGGAGCCGUAGCGAAAGCGAGUCUUAACAGGGCGUUUAGUCGUCAGGAGUAGACCCGAAGCCAGGUGAUCUAUCCAUGGCCAGGGUGAAGUCCGGGUAACGCCGGAUGGAGGCCCGCACCGGUUGGGGUUGAAAACCCAUCGGAUGAGCUGUGGAUAGGAGUGAAAGGCUAAUCAAACCUGGUGAUAGCUGGUUCUCCCCGAAAUAUAUUUAAGUAUAGCCUCACGUGUUGGAUGGCGGUGGUAGAGCACUGGUUGGGCUAGGGGUCUUAACCGGCUACCAAACCCAUCUAAACUCCGAAUGCCGCUAUUCCUAGCGUGGGAGUCAGCUUGUGGGUGAUAAAGUCCACAGACGAGAGGGAAACAACCCAGACCGCCAGCUAAGGUCCCAAAGUGUGUGCUAAGUGGAGAAGGAUGUGGAAUCGCUAAGACAGCCAGGAGGUUGGCUUAGAAGCAGCCAUCCUUUAAAGAAAGCGUAACAGCUCACUGGUCGAGUGGCUCUGCGCCGAAAAUAUAACGGGGCUUAAGCACACCACCGAAGCUGCGGGUUCAGAGAAAAUAUUGUUUUCUCUGAGCGGUAGGGGAGCGUUCCAGUGGCCUGUGAAGCCUGACCGAAAGGACUGGUGGAGGUGCUGGAAGUGAUAAUGCUGGCAUGAGUAACGAUAAAGGGAGUGAGAAUCUCCCUCGCCGUAAGCCUAAGGUUUCCUGGGUAAAGCUCGUCUGCCCAGGGUUAGGCGGUUCCUAAGCCAAGGCCGAAAGGCGUAGGUGAUGGAAAGCAGGUUAAUAUUCCUGCCCCACCAGAGUGGCGUUAUUACUGAUGAGGGGACGCAGGAAGGUAGCCCAGCCGGGUGUUGGAUGUCCUGGUUUAAGGUAGUAGGCGGGGAGGAUAGGCAAAUCCGUCCUCUCAUUAACAACGCCGAGAGCCGAGUACGAGGCCUUCGGGCCACAAAGUGGGUGAGCCUACACUGCCAAGAAAAGCCUCUAGGGAGUCACUCUGGUGACCGUACCGCAAACCGACACAGGUAGGCGGGGAUAAGUAUCCCAAGGCGCUCGGGAGAACCCUGGUCAAGGAACUCGGCAAAUUGGCACCGUAACUUCGGGAGAAGGUGUGCCCUGUUAGGGUGAAGGGACUUGCUCCUGGAGCCCGAGGGGGUUGCAGCGAAGAGGCGGUGGCGACUGUUUACUAAAAACACAGGACUCUGCUAAGUCGUAAGACGAUGUAUAGGGUCUGACGCCUGCCCGGUGCCGGAAGGUGAAGGGGAAGGGUUAGCUUCCUUGGAGGCGAGGCUCUGAACCGAAGCCCCGGUAAACGGCGGCCGUAACUAUAACGGUCCUAAGGUAGCGAAAUUCCUUGUCGGGUAAGUUCCGACCUGCAUGAAUGGCGUAACGAUCGCCGCGCUGUCUCGACCAGGGACCCGGUGAAAUUGUAGUGGUCGCGAAGAUGCGAUCUACCCGCGGCCAGACGGAAAGACCCCGUGCACCUUAACUAUAGCCUAACAUUGGAUUUUGGGCUAUGAUGUGUAGGAUAGGUGGGAGGCUAGGAAGCGGGGACGCCAGUCUCCGUGGAGCCAUCCUUGAAAUACCACCCUUCAUAGCUUAGAGUCCUAACCUUGAGCCGUAAUCCGGUUCAGGGACAGUGUUAGGUGGGUAGUUUGACUGGGGCGGUCGCCUCCUAAAAGGUAACGGAGGCGCGCAAAGGUCUCCUCAGGCGGAUUGGAAACCCGCCGUUGAGUGUAAAGGCAUAAGGAGGCUUGACUGUGAGGCCCACAAGCCGAGCAGGUGCGAAAGCAGGCCUUAGUGAUCCGGCGGUUCCGUAUGGAAGGGCCGUCGCUCAUCGGAUAAAAGGUACGCCGGGGAUAACAGGCUUAUCUCCCCCAAGAGUCCACAUCGACGGGGAGGUUUGGCACCUCGAUGUCGGCUCAUCCCAUCCUGGGGCUGGAGAAGGUCCCAAGGGUCGGGCUGUUCGCCCGUUAAAGGGGUACGUGAGCUGGGUUUAAAACGUCGCGAGACAGUUUGGUCCCUAUCUGCCGCGGGCGCAGGAGACUUGAAGGGAGCCCUCUCUAGUACGAGAGGACCGAGAGGGACGUACCUCUGGUGUUCCGGUUGUUCCGCCAGGAGCAGUGCCGGGUAGCUAUGUACGGACGGGAUAACCGCUGAAGGCAUCUAAGCGGGAAGCCCACCCUAAGAUGAGGUCUCCCGUGAUAGUCCGACCUGCCUGUCGUCAGGCAAGAAGGGCUAUCCCUGAAGGCCCCUCGGAGACUACGAGGUUGAUAGGCCGGAGGUGGAAGCUCAGCAAUGGGUGAAGCUGACCGGUACUAAUCGGCCGUGUGACUUGGC